CCUCUUCCGUUCUAUCAAGAAGGUGGUUUUCCCAGGGCGAGGCUUAUCCAUUGCACUCGGGAUGUGCUGACCUCUGCGAUUUCCCCAAAUGUGGGAAACUCGACUGCAUAAUUUGUGGUAGUGGGGGA